rnacentral:rRNA from 1 species
UACGAAGGGGGCUAGCGUUGCUCGGAAUCACUGGGCGUAAAGGGUGCGUAGGCGGGUCUUUAAGUCAGGGGUGAAAUCCUGGAGCUCAACUCCAGAACUGCCUUCGAUACUGGAGAGCUCGAGUCCGGGAGAGGUGAGUGGAACUGCGAGUGUAGAGGUGAAAUUCGUAGAAUAUUCGCAAGAACACCAGUGGCGAAAGGCGGCUCACUGGCCCGGGUACUG